AGGUGCAGAAAUGGACAGUGACAAAUGUCACUGAGAAAGUUGUUCAUACAAGGUAAUGACCAUCAUAUAAGUUUCUUCUAUACUUCAAAAAUAUUCAAGGAAAAUAGAACUCUCUUUUCCAAGGCCUUUCCUCUUUUUUCAUUUAAAAUUUCUUUAAAAACCAACAAAAUCAGGGAUCCCUGGGUGGCGCAGCGGUUUGGCGCCUGCCUUUGGCCCAGGGCGCGAUCCUGGAGACCAGGGAUCGAAUCCCACGUCGGGCUCCCGGUGCAUGGAGCCUGCUUCUCCCUCUGCCUAUGUCUCUGCCUCUCUCUCUCUCUCUCUGUGUGACUAUCAUAAAUAAAUAAAAUUUAAAAAAAAAAAAAAAAAAAAAAAAAAAAAAAAAAAAAAAAAACCAACAAAAUCCCACUACAUGUUCCCCAGCUUCCCUUCUGAAAAUUAACUUAAGCAUACAUCUACAUGAUAGAUGUAGAUGUUUAGUAGUUGGGUUGAUCACCUGAGUCAUGAAUCCUUAACAGAGGUUGUCUAUGAAUCUCAUUGUUUGGUUUGGACGAUGAUGAAGAAAGAUAAGAAUAUUGUAGAUUCAAAAACCUAUCCUAAAAAAAAAAAAAAAAAAACCUAUCCUGACUAAUUUGCCAUUCAAGAACCAACUGCAUUUGGAUAGGUCCAAUAUUGGAAAUUCAGUAGGUUCAUGAAAGAUAAUCCUCUACUUCUGAUUUGGAUAAUGAGAUAUCCUCCUCUUGCUCACUUGCUCAGUAAGAGAAAAUGAAAAAGAGUUGCAUCUUGUCAGGUCUUUGGAACUGGAGGUAGUGCAUCAAAUAACUGAGGUCACAUUUGGACCCAACACCAGUUCCCAAACAUAACUCAAAUAUUACUGAAAUUGAUCAUGACUUUAUACUUUGCCCAGUUUGAACUCAGAACUUUGUUGAACCUAAUUUUAUGUGUAGGUUGCCUUUACACGGAAGGGGCAAAUUUUUAUGUUAGCCUACUCUUCCUCAGCUCUUCCUUCUAAAUCCUUUAUUUCAGUCACUCAGUGUUAUCAUUUUCUUCCGUCAAAAAGUUCUUGUUUAUCAUUCCUGUCAUACUUCUAAUCUAAAAUUGUAUCUCUCAACAAGAAUUAUCUUGACAACUUCCUAACGAUAUUGCAUUUAUAAUCUCUUCUCUGUAUUAGUCAUCCUAAGCAGUAUCACAGUAUUUAUUAUCCUAAAACAGUAUUUUAAUUAGUUCACUUCUUGCUUUAAAUCUUCUAGAAUCUUCUCGUUCUUAAUUUUGAAACUCAUUCUCUUAGUAAUCAGGAGUUGUGAAGAAUCUAUGUUCAACUUCACUAAUCCAAACAUUUUCUGCAAAUCCUCAACAUUAACCCUAAUCCAAAAUAUAAGCUUUUCACAUGAUAGUUACCUACCUGAAAUAUCCUUCGUUUGCCCCUAAUCAAAUCCAUUUAUACCCUAUUCAAACAUAAGUGAUUUCCCUGGCCCCACUCAAAUUCAUCUUCCAUUUCCCUCCCCUCAUCCUUUCUUCCAAAAACAAUGUUCUAUUUCUAUACACCCCAUAGGAAUUCUUGUUAAUUCCACAUAUUUUGUUAUUUCCCAAUUGGUUUGCAUUGUAUAUGUUCUAUAUGUUUAACCUUGUCUCUAUCUUUGCUGUAUACCUGAAACAAGGGCAAAUAUCUUUGACAAAGGAAAUAUUUCAAAAUUAUCUUCAUAAUAAUUCCAGUUUAUCACCUCUACACUAGGUGUCAGUUGUACAGAUCUAACCAUCUGACCUGAACUCUUUUUAUAAGAAGUCUCAUAUAGUUCAAUAAUAUAUGACAGAAAUAUUUAUUAAUAUUUCCUCAUUGUUUGACUUAACUUUGCUCCAACAAUUCUAAUGAAACCACAUUCUCCCUUCCUAAUUAGAUACAAUCUUUUUAAAAUAUCUAUUGGAAGAGUUAAUUUAUUUAUUUGAGAGAGCAGAGAGAGAGAGACACAAGCAAUGAGGAGGGACAGAGAGAGAGAAGGAGAGCAGACUCCUCACUGAACAGGGAGCCCAACUUGGAACUUGAUCCCAGGACCCUGAGACCAUGACCUGAGCUGAGGGCAGAUGCUUAACCAAAUAACCCACCCAGGUGUCCGUAAUUAGAUAUAAUCUAAUUUGGUAUCACUUAAACCUCACACUACAAUUGUUCACACUAUUUCUCCUGCUUCCAUCUAAGACAUGUCAUCAUUCUUUAAUUUAUUCAUCCAACAUACUACCAUAUUCCAGAUACUCUUAAUAAACAGAUAGGACAAGGUUUCUGACCUCAUGGAACUUGUGUUCCACCCUCAAAAAGGAAAAAGAUGAUGCUUCUAUGUAAACAGGACCUCCCAAAUCCACUCCUUCCCUUGGUGUCUAGAACCCUUCUUUAAGUAUGCUCUUUUUGGAAAAUAAAAAUAAAUAUAAUCACAUUGAUGAGGUAUGUCCAAGAAACAGAGAAAGCACUAAAAGAACUUCUAAUGGCCAAAGUUGGAACAAUUUGGAUAAGAAAAUAAAUGGAAUAGUAGUAGAUAAUAACCCAAAGAAUAAAAUAGAUAUCCAAUAAUUCAUACUUAUAUAAAUGAUUGAUUGAAUGAAUUAAUAAGUGAGGGAGAAGAGACAAACCUCCCAUGUAGAAGUAUUCCAAAUAAUUUGUGUAGAUACUCCAUCCUAAAGAAAGAGAAAACUUUACAGUGGAAAAACUGACAAUAAAAAUGCACUUUACCUCUGUGGUCUUCCCAAUAGCAUCAGACAAAUUUCAAAACUGGAGUAUUCUAUAAAAUAUCUGACCAGUAACUCUCAAAACUGUCAAAGUCUUCAAACAUAAGGAAAGUGUGAGAAACUGUCAUGGUCAAGAGGAGCAAAAAGAUAGCAUAACAACUAAAUGUAAUGUGGUAUCCUAAAUGAGAUAUUGCAAUAGAAAAAAAUAUAUUGAAAGGUUAAAACUCAGAAAAUCUGAAUAAAAACUAUAGAUUUUAUUUUAAAAUAAUACAUCAACAUUGGUUCAUUAAUUGUAACAAAUCCAUCAUAUUAAUGUGAGAUGUUAAUAAUAGGAGAAACUGAGCAUAUGAUAUAUGGGAACCAGCUAUACUACCUACACAAUUUUUCUGCAUAUCUAAAAUUAUUCUAAAAAUAUUGUCUAGUGAUGGGCACUGAGGGGGGACACUUGACGGAAUGAGCACUGGGUGUUAUGCUAUAUGUUGGCAAAUCGAACUCCAAUAAAAAAAUACAAAAAAUAAAAUAAAUAAGUCUGUUAAAAAAUAAAUACAGUCCUCAAGUUAAGUGACAACUAUUUUUUUAUAAAUUUAUUUUUAUUGGUGUUCAAUUUGUCAACAUAUAGAAUAACACUCAGUGCUCAUCCCAUCAAGUGCCCACCUCAGUGCCCAUCACCCAGUCACCCCCACCCCCCACCCACCUCCCCUUCCACCACCCCUAGCUCGUUUCCCAGAGUUAGGAGUCUCUCAUGUUCUGUCUCCCUUUCUGAUAUUUCCCACUCAUUUUUCUCAUUUCCCCUUUAUUCCCUUUCACUAUUUUUUAUAUUCCCCAAAUGAAUGAGACCAUAUUUUCUCCAUGCUGAAAAAUGUAUGGCUUAAGUGAUGGGUUGUUUUGUUUUGUUUAAGUGAUGGGUUUGAAAGAAAAUUUGUUUUUUUUUUAUAAAUUUAUUUUUUAUUGUGUUCAAUUUGCCAACAUACAGAAUAACACCCAGUGCUCAUCCCAUCAAGUGCCCCCCCUCAGUGCCUGUCACCCAUUCACCCCCACCCCCGGCCUCCUCCCCUUCCACCACCCCUAGAUUGUUUCCCAGAGUUAGGAGUCUUUAUGUUCUGUCUCCCUUUCUGAUAUUUCCCACACAUUUCUUCUCCCUUCCCUUAUAUUCCCUUUCACUAUUAUUUAUAUUCCCCAAAUGAAUAAGAACAUAUAAUGUUUGUCCUUCUCCGAUUGACUUAUUUCACUCAGCAUAAAGAAAUUUAAAGAUCUGUCCUGCAGGCUGCUCACUGCAAGGACGUCAUUCAACCCCACUGUUUUGCUUCUCUCAUUCUUUUCUUUAACCUGCUGGUGACCUGUGUUUGACCUCCCAUUGCAACUUCCUCACUACCCUCACCAGUAUCCCUGUGAUGACUUCUCUUAAACAUCUC
rnacentral:lncRNA from 1 species